rnacentral:rRNA from 1 species
UAGGGAAUAUUGGUCAAUGGGCGGAAGCCUGAACCAGCCAUGCCGCGUGCAGGAAGACGGCCUUCUGGGUUGUAAACUGCUUUUACCAGGGAACAAAUAGGCCAUGCGUGGCAAGUUGAGUGUACCUGGGGAAUAAGCACCGGCUAACUCCGUGCCAGCAGCCGCGGUAAUACGGAGGGUGCAAGCGUUGUCCGGAUUUAUUGGGUUUAAAGGGUGCGUAGGCGGUUUAUUAAGUCAGUGGUGAAAGCCCACAGCUCAACUGUGGAAUUGCCAUGGAUACUGGAAAUCUUGAGUUCAGUUGAGGUAAGCGGAAUUUAUGAUGUAGCGGUGAAAUGCAUAGAUAUCAUAAAGAACACCUAUUGCGAAGGCAGCUUGCUGGACUUGGACUGACGCUAAGGUACGAAAGCGUGGGGAGCGAACAGGAUUAGAUACCCCCGUAGUCC